rnacentral:rRNA from 1 species
GGGCCUACGGGGCGCAGCAGUGGGAAUAUUGGGCAAUGGGCGCAAGCCUGACCCAGCAACGCCGCGUGAAGGAAGAAGGCUUUCGGGUUGUAAACUUCUUUUCUCAGGGACGAAGAAAGUGACGGUACCUGAGGAAUAAGCCACGGCUAACUACGUGCCAGCAGCCGCGGUAAUACGUAGGUGGCAAGCGUUAUCCGGAUUUACUGGGUGUAAAGGGCGCGUAGGCGGGAAAGCAAGUCAGAUGUGAAAACCACGGGCUUAACCUGUAGACUGCCGUUG